CCUACGGGAGGCAGCAGUAAGGAAUCUUCCACAAUGGACGAAAGUCUGAUGGAGCAACGCCGCGUGCAGGAUGAAGGCUUUCGGGUCGUAAACUGCUUUUAUAUGGGAAGAUUAUGACGGUACCAUAUGAAUAAGGACCGGCUAACUACGUGCCAGCAGCCGCGGUAAUACGUAGGGUCCAAGCGAUAUCCGGAAUUACUGGGCGUAAAGCGUGUGUAGGUGGAUUAAUAAGUGUGAUGCGAAAUCCGGCGGCUCAACCGUUUGGACUGUGUCGCAUACUGUUAGUCUAGAGGACGGCAGAGGUAAGUGGAAUUACGGGUGUAGCAGUGAAAUGCGUAGAUAUCCGUAGGAACACCAAUGGCGAAGGCAGCUUACUGGGCCACACCUGACACUGAGACACGAAAGCGUGGGGAGCGAACAGGAUUAGAUACCCUGGUAGUCCACGCCGUAAACGAUGCAUACUAUUAGUAUGGGGUAUCGACCCCCUCGUGCUGAGAAGCUAACGCGAUAAGUAAUGCCGCCUGGGGAGGUACGAGCGCAAGCUAAACUACUUAAAGAAAGUAGUUAGG
rnacentral:rRNA from 1 species